UGGCCAAACCUCCUUGUCAAAGCCUGCUUUCACCAGAUUUCAGAAGCUAAGCAGGUCUGGGCUUGGUUAGUACUUGGAUGGGAGACCACUUAGAAGAUCAGGUGCUAGAAUAG
rnacentral:rRNA from 1 species